GGGCCCUGCAUGCUGACUAACCCUUGCUUUUCCAGUUGGCCUGCUUCCCCAAAUAUCACGCUAUGGGCACUGCCAGGGUGAAUGAGCUCCUUAAUUAUCUGGGAGCUUAAAAGAGUGAGUUGAACUGUUGAAACUCACAGAAUCUUAGCUGGAGUGGGGACUCUGGGGAUCCAAUCACUGCAUUGAGCUUUGAAAUAAUAAUUGUUUAUUGUUUAAAAGAUUUUAUUCUGAUACUAUGUCAAAUGAACUCUUUCAUAAAUAAAUUCAUUUGUCUCAUUUUAAAAAUUAGGUUCCACAUAUGAGUGAUGUAUUUGUCAUUCUCUUUUCUGACUUCAUUCUCUCAAUAUAAGGAUCUCUAGGUCCAGCCAUGUUGCUGCAAACGGUAUUAUUUCAUUCUUUCUUAUGGCUGAGUAAUACUCCAGUGUGUGUGUGUGUGUGUGUGUGUGUGUGUUUCUUUUGCUUCAGUGAUCCAUGGAUAAAAGCACAUGUCCAUUGAUAGCUUGCCCAAUAGCUGUGGAACAUUCUCCCUUCAGUGUUUGUUCUUCAAGUCUAGGGAGGCAGGCAUUUGCACAGCAUCAAAGCAGUCUGUUACAUUGGGUGCCGGCUGUUUCGAAUCGGUGACUGAUGACUUGGUUUAGGGCAGGGAUUCUUAACCCACUGUGCCACAGUGGGAACUUCCAAAAAUGUGCUGAAUAUAUGAGUGUUUAUUACAAACUCUUCCUGAUCUUUUCAAUAAAAACAAUAGCAAUAGUAAUAAUGACUCUGGGUGUUGAGUUGUUGAGUGUCUUAGGCCACGCCCUGAGCUCAGGCCGCAUCUCCUUUAAUCCUCCCAAACCCUGACUGACGAGUUUCAAGUUUCGCGUUUCAUAGUCUCCUGAUGGCCAAGCCACAAAAGCAGACACCCUAGCUCAGGACAGCGAAGUCACCCACCCAGGGCCACACAGCUCAGAAGGGGCUGGAGUCCGAAGACUGUUUUGAAUACAAUGGAAGAAGGAGGAAAGUGUCCUUUAUCUCCUAUUAUAUUCGUGCUUAGAUUUCUGGCCUGUUUUGCAAGAGUGGGUUUGGGGUUGAAGUGGAUUUUAUUUACAGAGUUGGAAUUUUUCGAGGUGAAAACAUUGCUCUGAAAAGAAAAUACCUAUUGGAUGCCAGGACAAUAACAAUGAAAUAAAAAAAAAACGCCAGUUCUAGUUCAUGGGAGGCCUUUGUCUAUUAUUGUAUGCACACACUGCUCAAAUUAUUUUCUUUUUCUUUAGAGAAAAUUAUUGAAUAGUUAUAGGAUACCUUUAUUGGUUGAGUUUAUUUGCUCGGUAAGAUCAUAUAUUAUUGAAGAUGUUUUGAAAUCAGCUCAUUGUGGUCUCUGAACUGCCUGCUUGUCACGUAAAAAGCAUCCAUAUUGGUUAAAUACAACUUUAAUGUAUAG
rnacentral:lncRNA from 1 species